rnacentral:rRNA from 1 species
GCUUGCUGGGGUGGAUUAGUGGCGAACGGGUGAGUAACACGUGAGCAACCUGCCCCUGACUCUGGGAUAAGCGCUGGAAACGGCGUCUAAUACUGGAUAUGCACUGUAGCCGCAUGGUUUGCAGUGGGAAAGAUUUAUCGGUUGGGGAUGGGCUCGCGGCCUAUCAGCUUGUUGGUGAGGUAAUGGCUCACCAAGGCGUCGACGGGUAGCCGGCCUGAGAGGGUGACCGGCCACACUGGGACUGAGACACGGCCCAGACUCCUACGGGAGGCAGCAGUGGGGAAUAUUGCACAAUGGGCGCAAGCCUGAUGCAGCAACGCCGCGUGAGGGAUGACGGCCUUCGGGUUGUAAACCUCUUUUAGCAGGGAAGAAGCCUUCGGGUGACGGUACCUGCAGAAAAAGCGCCGGCUAACUACGUGCCAGCAGCCGCGGUAAUACGUAGGGCGCAAGCGUUAUCCGGAAUUAUUGGGCGUAAAGAGCUCGUAGGCGGUUUGUCGCGUCUGCUGUGAAAUCUGGAGGCUCAACCUCCAGCCUGCAGUGGGUACGGGCAGACUAGAGUGCGGUAGGGGAGAUUGGAAUUCCUGGUGUAGCGGUGGAAUGCGCAGAUAUCAGGAGGAACACCGAUGGCGAAGGCAGAUCUCUGGGCCGUUACUGACGCUGAGGAGCGAAAGGGUGGGGAGCAAACAGGCUUAGAUACCCUGGUAGUCCACCCCGUAAACGUUGGGAACUAGUUGUGGGGGCCUUUCCACGGUCUCUGUGACGCAGCUAACGCAUUAAGUUCCCCGCCUGGGGAGUAC